AUACGGAGGGUGCAAGCGUUGUUCGGAAUUACUGGGCGUAAAGCGCGCGUAGGCGGUCUGUUAUGUCAGAUGUGAAAGUCCUCGGCUCAACCGGGGAAGUGCAUUUGAAACAGGCAGACUAGAGUACUGGAGGGGGUGGUGGAAUUCCCGGUGUAGAGGUGAAAUUCGUAGAUAUCGGGAGGAAUACCGGUGGCGAAGGCGACCACCUGGCCAGAUACUGACGCUGAGGUGCGAAAGCGUGGGGAGCAAACAGGAUUAGAAACCCUAGUAGUCC
rnacentral:rRNA from 1 species